GGGGCCUGGAGCCUGGGGGUCGCUCGGGCCACUUCGGAGGUGGGGUGCCCCCGGCCUCUCGGCCUGGGGCUCGGUCACUCAGGCACGGCUGGCUGCCGGCGGAGCUCACGGGCGCGUCACUGCAACUCCCCCUGGCUUCUGCUCCGCGGCUGCUGAGUGAGCCCUCAUCUCUGACUCUCCUCAGCUCUUUCUGGGACAGUGGCGCGGCUGCCCCUCUGUUGGUCUUCCUUGGUCUCUUGUGUUCUGGGGGCCUCUGGAUGUCUGGAGUUUUGAUCUCCUCCAUACCUGCUUCAUGCCCUGGAGGACAGGGCUGUGGCCCCCCCACACCCUAGCAGAUCGUUACAUGAAGGAACCUUUUAAAAAAACAAAAAACAAGCGCGUCCAUGCUCACAGGUGUACACACGGGUGACCACACCCACAAACUACACCCUUUUUGGCUCCUACCUCAAAGCACACUGUGUUCUGUUGAUCUUAUGUGCUGCACAAUAAUGUUUAAUAUUUAGUAUUUACUGUCAUAUUCCCAUAUAUCAUUGUGAUGUUGUUUAUUCUAUUACUCUUGUUCUCUUCUGCUUGUUUUCUUUUUUCUUUCUCAGCAGGUGACCCAGGUGAUUGAUAUAUGCAUUUUUUUUCUUUUUUUUUUCUGCCCGUUCUGUUGGUUUUUGUUUUUUGCCCUUCUCCCCCGUCCCUCUUCUCAGCUGUUUCUCUUUCCCUCUUUCUUUCUCCCCUUCUUUCCCCCAGUCAAGUCUGUCCCGUAUUCAGUAAGUGAAAAUAAAAUGAACAAUAAAAGGUGAAUCAAAUGGACCAUUACGGCAAGGCUGGGAUGGUCAGUUUGGUAAAGUAAAUCCGUUGGGCAUCUUUCUUUGCCUUUAGACAACAAUUCUGAUGGCAAAAGAGCCAAACGGGACAGGCAAAAAAAAAAAAAAAAAAGAGUGGUAGGUUGACAAGCCUAUGUGAUGGGAUAAAGAGACCGGAGUAUUUAUAAACCUUGGGAAAAACCUUUGGAAUCAGGUCUUUCCAGGGCGAAUUAAGGUAUAACAAGGUUAUCUUAGAGAUCAAAUCUAAUAUUGAAUGGUGAAGACAUUUAUCUGAAUUGUUGCCUAAUGUAUAUCAGAUGAUCUUUAGCUCAUUUAACCAUUUACAGUUAUAGC
ensembl:lncRNA